ensembl:lncRNA
AAAAGAAAUAAGCACUGCUUAAGAACCGAGUCAACUCUCAAACUAGAAAAAACAACUGAAAAAAAUUCCAAAAAAGAGAGGAGGUUUACAAUACAAAUUAGUAGUAAGACAUUGUCUGAAGUGCAAUGGCAUAGCUCAGAUGGGUUAAAAGUGAAACCAAAAAACUUCAAAAUAAAAAUACUUCUCUAUUUUCCAACAAACAGUAAAUUCUUUACAGAGUAGAGACUGUAUUAUCUGAUGUAUUUAAACCUGUAAAAACAUAUUUACAAAUAGCCAUUAUCUUUUAUAUACUUUUUUUUUCUCAUAAUCACAUAUAUGUCAGCACCAGUAAAAAAAAUAAAAUAAAACAAAGAACAUCAAUAACAACAGUUUUCGUUAAAAUGUUGUCUACAGACUUGGUCCCGGUACAUAAUGAUAUUUGGAGGAAGCUUCCUUUCUCUUCCUGAAGGGAUUUCAAACCAGGUCACGCUGCCUGACUUUGGCUGUGACCUUAACACUGACCCACACAUGUUUCUAUACCUUCCUGCCUCUGCGUUGGACUCGUAAACCUCAGGUGUUUUCCCACAAACUGCCUCUAACAUGUGAUUUAUGAGCCUGCCUGGACUGGCAUCAAACUUUUGGAAGCAUGAGCAUCGGAGCCCCCGCAGGUUUGGGCGCUCCGCUGCUUUUCCUACACGAGGCAGGCUCAACGACUGAGAGGGUUUUAAAUUUGUGACCGUGCUCCCCCUGGUAAAACUCGGGAAUGCUAUAAAACCCCUACAUAUCCGCCCAUCCUUGACAUUCAGUCUCCACACAGUGAGAUGGAGGACUUCCCGAAGGUGACAGAAACCAAAAAAAAGUACAGAAAUUCAUUCGCGGGUGCUGCCAAACGCAGCGGCGCUUACAGGACGACGGGCGUGGUGGUUAAAGUUCGUAUUUAAAGGGUUGGAUUAUACAACACCAACAACCAUGAGAACAGAUGAUGACAAGGAGUUAGUUUACAGAGAAGAAGGCUUUUUUGGUUUUGUUGAUUACAGCAUCGUCCUCCAAACUUUCACUCUGAUGAGCUAAAUACAAAGUAAUGCAGACACGCUUUCAUUCAUCUUUUAAAGCGUUAGCGAUGUAAGAUGUUACCAACAAGUACAGUAAUAAAACCUUUUUGACACAUAUUCAUUAUGCAAACAUCAGGGCAGAGGAAGUUGACGGGGAAGGGAGACACUAACUUCAGUGGAAGCACUGAUCAUCUCGAUACUAACUGUUGUCACACUUUAAAGGGACUGAUCACCCCAGCCUUCAUUUUAUGUUUUUCCUUCAGCCUCCAGUUUUCUUUAUUCAUCUCUAUGAAACAGCACUUUUUGCAAACAUUUUUAUUCUAGGAAUCAUGAAACGGUUACCUCAAACAUCACAUAAACCGUGGGUAAAAUAAAUAAUAAUAAAAAUAAUAAUAAUUAAAGUUGCAGUUCCUCUAGUGGCCACUUGAGGCUGCCUUCAAAUAUGAUUCAGUCCCCAUAGACUCCCAUGUUAAAAUGCCCAGCUUUACAGCAGAAUUAAACAUGUUUACAGUCUGAUG